GAUGAACGCUGGCGGCGUGCCUAAUACAUGCAAGUCGAGCGAACGGACGAGAAGCUUGCUUCUCUGAUGUUAGCGGCGGACGGGUGAGUAACACGUGGAUAACCUACCUAUAAGACUGGGAUAACUUCGGGAAACCGGAGCUAAUACCGGAUAAUAUUUUGAACCGCAUGGUUCAAAAGUGAAAGACGGUCUUGCUGUCUCUUAUAGAUGGAUCCGCGCUGCAUUAGCUAGUUGGUAAGGUAACGGCUUACCAAGGCAACGAUGCAUAGCCGACCUGAGAGGGUGAUCGGCCACACUGGAACUGAGACACGGUCCAGACUCCUACGGGAGGCAGCAGUAGGGAAUCUUCCGCAAUGGGCGAAAGCCUGACGGAGCAACGCCGCGUGAGUGAUGAAGGUCUUCGGAUCGUAAAACUCUGUUAUUAGGGAAGAACAUAUGUGUAAGUAAAUGUGCACAUCUUGACGGUACCUAAUCAGAAAGCAACGGCUAACUACGUG
rnacentral:rRNA from 1 species